rnacentral:lncRNA from 1 species
UAUCUGUCCAGAAGGGGUCACUGUCUGUGCCUGAAUUAAAAAAGUUCCAGGAUUCAGCUGCAACUGAAGGUUUUGCAAAGCCUGUUGUGAUAUAUUUUGACCACUGGCUUGCACGCCAUGGAUUGUCUGUGGUGUAAUACCUUGCACAAUUUGGGCUUGACUGGUUGGCUGUUGAGAAUCUUGAAGUUGUAGAUGUUGUACAACAGGCUGUGCUGUAGAAACCUGAAUAUUCUGAGCCUGUGUCUCUUCAGAAACAGGCGACUGGAUAUAAUUUCCCUGAAGAUCUGAAGAAUGGACUUGCCCACUAGUAGUAGUCAAGCUAUUUGUGUUUUGCUGUAAUAUACCUGUACUAUCUAUUGUAACAGGCAACUGUGAUGAAGAGGAUGUUGGCACAAAUAAAUCUGUAUCAGCAUUAGUUUCAUUAACAUCAGGAGAAACCCGCUCACCAGUCCUUUCUGAAUUGUCUGAACUAUCCAUAGCUUGUCCUGUGUUUAUCAAAUGUCCAUCGGCAUUAAUGCCUGCAGUCAUUGUCUGAGAACUUCCCGAGAGUCCCAAAGAAUCUAGAUCGACACUAUUGAUUGGUACAAAGGUAAUAUUUCCUGGCAGACCAAGAGGCACAUUAGCAACUACUUGAGUUUGGCCAGGAAAUGAUGAGCCACCAAUUGCAACUCCCUGAACCUGGACUUGACCAGUCUGUGGUAUGAGAUUCUGGAUAUUAGCAGGAGGUGUUCCAGAGGCAAGUAAGGUUUGAUUAGAGCCAGGAAUGAUCUGAAUUUGGCUGCUUUCUUGAUUUAUACCCCCAUUAUCUGAGGAGCCUGUGAAGCCAAUCUGAACCUGCUGAGCGUCUGUUGACUGAAUCUGUGGUAUUACUUGAUAUUGAACAUUGGACACUGUACCAUUUGAUGAAUCUGAUCCUGGUGCAACUGAAAAUAUUUGUUGAUUCUGCAAAUUCUGAAGGGGAAGGACAUACUGCCCACUUGAAGUAGCAGCACCUGGAAUCUGUACUAGAUUACCAGCUUCAUCUUUUAUAGUCGUAGGUGUAGCUGACAAAACCUCCCAUCGGUUUGGUGCUCCUCCUAACUGUGCAGAAGCCAAAUCACCUGUC